UGACGGUAGCUUACCAGAAAGGGACGGCUAACUACGUGCCAGCAGCCGCGGUAAUACGUAGGUCCCGAGCGUUGUCCGGAUUUAUUGGGCGUAAAGGGAGCGCAGGCGGUCAGGAAAGUCUGGAGUAAAAGGCUAUGGCUCAACCAUAGUGUGCUCUGGAAACUGUCUGACUUGAGUGCAGAAGGGGAGAGUGGAAUUCCAUGUGUAGCGGUGAAAUGCGUAGAUAUAUGGAGGAACACCAGUGGCGAAAGCGGCUCUCUGGUCUGUCACUGACGCUGAGGCUCGAAAGCGUGGGUAGCGAACAGGAUUAGAUACCCUGGUAGUCCACGCCGUAAACGAUGAGUGCUAGGUGUUAGGCCCUUUCCGGGGCUUAGUGCCGGAGCUAACGCAAUAAGCACUCCGCCUGGGGAGUACGACCGCAAGGUUGAAACUCAAAGGAAUUGACGGGGGCCCGCACAAGCGGUGGAGCAUGUGGUUUAAUUCGAAGCAACGCGAAGAACCUUACCAGGUCUUGACAUCCCGAUGCUAUUCUUA
rnacentral:rRNA from 1 species